AAAAGCUCGUAGUUGAAUGUGUAUGAAAUGAUGCGAAUCCAUUCAUGGAUUUCGUGUCUAAAAAUCAUAACAGGUACGGCGGUGCAUGCCCGUUCUCCUACGGGAGUACGGGUGUUGUAUCAUUCCGCCGUACGUAUUACCUUGAAAAAAUUAGAGUGUUUAAAGCAGGCCGUAGUGCCGGAAUAAAUCGCAUGGGAUAAUGAAACAGGACUUACUAGAGAUAUGGUAUUACUCUAUGUGAGUACAUGAUAGAUAGGGACAAUCGGGGUCGCUCGCAUUGGAUGGGAAGAGGUGAAAUUCUAAGAUCCAUCCAAGACGAACAAGUGCGAAAGCAUUCGACAUGGGUGUUUUCAUUAAUCAAGAACGAAAGUUAGGGGAUCGAAGAUGAUUAGAUACCGUCGUAGUCUUAACUAUAAACUAUAUCGACUAAAUAUUAUGGCUUGUUGUCAUUGACUCCCGUAGCAUUUUAUGAGAAAUCACAAGUGUGAUUCUAGGGGGAGUAUGGUCGCAAGGCUGAAACUUAAAGGAAUUGACGGAAGGGCACCACCAGGAGUGGAACCUGCGGCUUAAUUUGACUCAACACGGGAAAACUUACCAGGUCAGGACACAGUUAGGAUUGACAGAUUGAUUGUUCUUUCAUGAUUUUGUGGAUAGUGGUGCAUGGCCGUUUUUAGUUGGUGGAUUGAUUUGUCUGGUUAAUUCCGUUAACGAACGAGACCUUAACCUAUUAAAUAGAAACCGAAAAUAGGGCCUUCGGGCUUCUUAUCUUUCGCGUUUACUUCUUAAAGGGACCCCAUUAAGUUUUAUUAAAAGGAAGAUUAAGGCAACAACAGGUCUGUGAUGCCCUUAGAUGUCCUGGGCCGCACGCGGGUUACAUUGGAUUACACAAAGUGCAGUGGUCCCUCCACGAAAGUGUUGGGCAAUCACUAAUAUAAAUACCAAAACUGGGAUAGUAAAUUGUAAUUAUUAUUCUUGAACGAGGAAUUCCUAGUAAAUUUACUUCAUUAGAGUGGGUUGAUUACGUCCCUGCCCUUUGUACACACCGCCCGUCGCUCCUACCGAUUGAAUGGUCCGGUGAGGACUUAGGAUGGAUGGGUCUUGUCUGGCUGAAUAAGCUAGUGCAAGCCCAUUAUUCUAACCAAAAUUUGUUCAAACCUUAUUGU
rnacentral:rRNA from 1 species